rnacentral:lncRNA from 1 species
UAAAAAUAUAACACCAUCACCAUCAAUUAUCAAGCAAGAACUCUGCUUCAAUUAAUUAUAGUAACCGGCCUGUCUUAGAAACAAUUUUCUGCAACCAAUUAAAAAUGACAGAGGAGAUGCAAUGAAAUGUAAGCUAUAUGAAUUCCUUCAUAGGAAUGUGUUGUUACUUAUAUGAAUAGGAGAAGAUCCAGAGCACAUCUGACAGGAAAUAUGAUACGAUCUCUCUCCUGGUGCCCUCCGAACCAUCCUCAACUGCACAAGCAAGACAUAAGAUAUUAAGCAAUUUUACAAACACUUCAUCUUUAUAAAUUCAAUGAGUACUCUCUAGCAUAUACUUUGAAAAGAAGAGGUCUUGUUCAUCAUUUCACAAAACCUGCAUAUUAGUAUAGCAAGCAAAGGCAUGCAAAAUACUGGACAUGUUUUGGUUCAUGCACAGAAGCAGAGAAAUAGCAAGAUCUAGAAAAACAGCGCAAGAGUAAUCUUGACAACGCCAUCUCAAAGAAAGACCAGAUGAGGUGAAGAAAAAAAAAUGAUGUAUCUGGAGCAAUUGUUUUCCUCUAGUUACCAUUUGAUUCAAUAUUUUGUCCAAUCUCAAAAUCUAAGAUAUGCCCGUAUCCAAUUAUUAAUAAGUUAACUUGCAACUCUUGGCACAAAACAUGAGCAGCUUGAUAAUAGAAGAGCCCUCAAUUGUCCGCUUUUGAUGAAGGGAAAUCAAUUAGUUUUAAAAUACAUGGGAAAAGUUGAUGUUAAUAACUAAUGUUUCUGCUGAAAUAAAGUAGUCCACAAUAUGGGAAGCAAAAAAAAUGGCAUGAAGGAACACUUGCCGCUUUCACACCCAGUAAAAGUAGUAAUGAUGUAGAAACCGAUGGAAUUCUUUUCUUCUUGUACUCAGUAUUGAUCUCACUUGAUUCAGUUUUGGAAAACGAUUUGCCGGAAGUGGCGUAAGUAUCUGGUAACAAAUUGAAAGAUCAAUAAAUAUGCACCAGUUGACCAUAUAACUUUCCAAAAGAAGAACAAGAUGAUUUAUUCCUGUAGUGACUAUUGCAGAAGAAUAUAGCCGAACAAAAGAACUCAUAUCAGAAGUUAAAUAGACACCCAUGUCAGGUUCAUAAACUGUGAUGCUAGCUUUUGGUCAUUUUCUUGUUUCACGAGCACAAUUAUUCGGUUGUUGUAUCAUAUUACUGAGAGGACAAGGAAAAUCAUGCUCGCCAAUUCUUUUCAUCCGAACAACCAUAAAUAUUGUUUGAAACCUAAAAGCACACGGUAAAGAAUUGAUUGAAAGAAACUUGGAGAACAAAAAUCUAAUUAGAGGACAUGCUACCUUAUUUGCUGAUUUAAUCUCAGAUGAGUUGGUUUCUUUAUCAAUACUGUAAUUGUUGCUUUCACAAGAUGCAACAGAAGCACCAUUUACUCUUGAAAGAAGAUUUUGAUUUGAUCCAUUCAUGUUGUUGAUACAGUAAUAGAUUAGUAUCAAGAAUAUAGCUAUCAGUUGUUGCAAAGGAUGACUCUCAUACAGUGUCAAAAUUCAUGUCAAGCAGCUGUCUGUCACCCCUUGGAAGAAGUGAAUUCAGGUUACUCAAGAAUCGUCGGAACCAAAAUCAGACAACGCAAAACUGAAACAGAACCGCCAGUUCAAGGUCAGCGGGAGCGGGGGUGUGGCGGCGGCCAUGCCCGAGUCCCCGGCGUCCGUGAAGCGGAGGAGGAAAAUAUGAGCGAAUGUCGGGGAUGCACACACCAUGGAUGACCUCCAUGGUCCACCGCCUUGAGGCAAUCCGCCUCAUCGGCCGAUCUGGUUGGCGGGUGGAGCAAAAAGGAGCUCGGCGGCCAUGGCGCGGGCGCGAUCAAGCAAACUUUUGGAAGAGGGGGACAGAGGCUCGACAUUGAAUAGAUAUAUUAUACCUGAAAGUGAACAUUUGUAUCAAAAUGUUAGGGAAGAGGUCAUCCUACAGAAUUAGCUCCUGCUACAGAAUUAGCUUGUGUGUGUCAAAAUGUUAGGGAAGAGGUCAAACAAUUAGCUCAUGUGUAUCAAAUCUUCGGUAAGUAUGUCUUGUAUUGUAUAACAGUAUAAGUCAACAUGCUACAAAAUUUAAACAACAACUGUAACAGGAUGCAAAAUCAAAGGAGGUGUACAAGGAGGGAAAGGUAGCAAUGAUAUAUCUCUAACUAACUUUGAACUUACCUAUCAACAUAAGACAUUUUCUUAAUAAUGGGCAGAUUCUGCAAGCAAACCAUUUUUCGCAAGAAAGGGGGUAAAAUCAAGCAUUUUACACAACUAUAAAUGAUUUUCAGCCAAGAAAAUGAAAGGAGGACAAAAAUACCCAUGAAUACAAGAUAUAAUUAUUGAAGUUAUUCUCUGCGACCAUGAUAUAAUCUAUAGAAGUUAAAAGUAUCUAAUUGACAGGAAACCUGUCUUUGAUAAGACUGAUGGUGAAGAUGUAACCUUAGAAACAGCAUUAGUGUCCAAAACAAUUCAGAUAUAUCUUUACUCAAUUUGUCAUUAUGCCUUUUACAUGGUUAGUAGAAUUCCUUGUGAUAUAUAAUGCGACUAAUUACUCUCACAAUAAAAACAGGAGAUAUCAAGUCCAAGGAAGCACAUGAAGUCAAGUACAAGCAUGGAAUCACUUCCUAUUGUUCUUAAUUAAAACCAAAGUUCUAAAAAUAUAGCACUGCAGAGGACCUUCAAGUUACAUUUCUCAUGAGCAGCUUCCAGCAUUGACACCCAAAUAAGAGCAUUAAUAAUCUUUUCAUCGCCAGCAUUGACACCCUAAUAAGAACAAAUGCCACAGAUAUCCUGCAAAGUAAAUUCCUAUUAUUGGUACUGAAUUGCCAAUGGCUUCAUAAAAAAUACAAAUUUCAAUCAAAAGAAUGCAUGCCGCAUCAAAUAUUAAGCGGUAAAUCAGCUCAAGUGAAAAGGGCAUGGAAUCCUGGCCUCAAGAUUAAGUUUCGGUAUAAAUUGCAGGUACCACAAACUCAAGCUAAUACAACGAUAUGCGAGAAUCAUGUGGAGAUGAUGAGAGACGAAAUAAAAGGGAACUCACAGGAAGUGCAGAUCAGGGUGAGAGGGAGAGAACCUGUCAGUCUAGACGACGCCGUCGGAAUCAGCAAAACCAGAGAGGAGGACGACCUCAUGUGGACGAAAUUUCAACAACAAAAAACUCUGCAAGUCUGAAGUGUCACAAUUAUAUUUUUUUGUUAGUUGUGUCUUAAUCUGUACAUUACAUGAUCAAUGUAUAAUAGUACCCUACCUUUUUCUAAAUGGCUCUUCUGAUUUUUUGAGAGUAGUGCAGACCAAUGAGAUUAUCUUAACUAAAUUAUCUCGCAAUUCCAUUAGAGACU